GACGAACGCUGGCGGCGUGCUUAACACAUGCAAGUCGAACGGAAAGGCCCUGCUUUUGUGGGGUGCUCGAGUGGCGAACGGGUGAGUAACACGUGAGUAACCUGCCCUUGACUUUGGGAUAACUUCAGGAAACUGGGGCUAAUACCGGAUAGGAGCUCCUGCUGCAUGGUGGGGGUUGGAAAGUUUCGGCGGUUGGGGAUGGACUCGCGGCUUAUCAGCUUGUUGGUGGGGUAGUGGCUUACCAAGGCUUUGACGGGUAGCCGGCCUGAGAGGGUGACCGGCCACAUUGGGCCUGAGAUACGGCCCAGACUCCUACGGUAGGCAGAAGUGGGGAAUAUUGCACAGUGGGCGGAAGCCUGAUGCAGCAACGCCGCGUGCGGGAUGACGGCCUUCGGGUUGUAAACCGCUUUCGCCUGUGACGAAGCGUGAGUGACGGUAAUGGGUAAAGAAGCACCGGCUAACUACGUG
rnacentral:rRNA from 1 species